CUGCAGGGGGAGCUCUGACUGCCAGCACACUGCCAUGAAAGCAAGCAGAGGAAGUGAGCAGGGCUGGAGAGAGGACUAUCAUUUAUAUUACCAUAACUAAAAGUGUACAGCAUUUCUAUCCAUGUGGCCUCACAAACAAAGUCAACAGUGAAAGGAAUGCUAUCCAUCUGACGAGAAAGCAGCGGACAGUACAGCAGAUAAGAUAUGAUAACAUUACCAAGUUAGCUGUAUUAGGCUAACUGUUGCUGACUGCAUGAGUUACGUUACUGUUGGUACAUGCAGGUUUUAAAUGCAGCUAUUAACCCCGCUGAGGGCUGUGUGUAUAAACUGUAAAGAUAAGGUGAAGAAGCUGUGUUUCUGGGUAAUAGCACCAUGCUGGGCAGGUGACAGGUGUGUGUUUACAGUGUUUGUGUGCUCUGAAAAACAUAACAGCGCAGCUAUAAAGUCUCAGCCGGCAGACCUAGUAUGGUAUUAUUACUACACACAUAUGGAUGUAACGUUGAGGCCUGAUAGACAUCCGCUAAUCAGAAACAGAGGACACUACCUUCAUCACUGCCGAUGUCAUUGACCAGGGAGUGAAUGACAAAGAUGUUUCACCUGGACAUGAAGGACCACUUGGUGUCACAGCUUUGGAUCAGCCAUCUGCAGCAGAGUCCCUGUCCACUGGGUCACACAACAAGUUGGAAAUUACAGCUACAGCUGAUUCAGUAACCUCUGGAUCCACUCAGGACUUAUAUCUCUCACUUAGCCAUAAUUUACUCUUCAUUGAAAGGCUUGUAUUUUAUCUUGCAAAGUUUCUAUGUGAUCUAUAAUUACCGUGUUUUAUUUUGCUCAUUAUAUUAUGCAUUAAAUACCACAGAGGUGCAGCCUGACAGGA